GUGCCUAAUACAUGCAAGUCGAGCGAGCUUGCCUAGAUGAAUUUGGUGCUUGCACCAAAUGAAACUAGAUACAAGCGAGCGGCGGACGGGUGAGUAACACGUGGGUAACCUGCCCAAGAGACUGGGAUAACACCCGGAAACAGAUGCUAAUACCGGAUAACAACACUAGACGCAUGUCUAGAGUUUAAAAGAUGGUUCUGCUAUCACUCUUGGAUGGACCUGCGGUGCAUUAGCUAGUUGGUAAGGUAACGGCUUACCAAGGCAAUGAUGCAUAGCCGAGUUGAGAGACUGAUCGGCCACAUUGGGACUGAGACACGGCCCAAACUCCUACGGGAGGCAGCAGUAGGGAAUCUUCCACAACGGACGCAAGUCUGAUGGAGCAACGCCGCGUGAGUGAAGAAGGGUUUCGGCUCAUAAAGCUCUGUUGGUAGUGAAGAAAGAUAGAGGUAGUAACUGGCCUUUAUUUGACGGUAAUUACUUAGAAAGUCACGGCUAACUACGUGCCAGCAGCCGCGGUAAUACGUAGGUGGCAAGCGUUGUCCGGAUUUAUUGGGCGUAAAGCGAGUGCAGGCGGUUCAAUAAGUCUGAUGUGAAAGCCUUCGGCUCAACCGGAGAAUUGCAUCAGAAACUGUUGAACUUGAGUGCAGAAGAGGAGAGUGGAACUCCAUGUGUAGCGGUGGAAUGCGUAGAUAUAUGGAAGAACACCAGUGGCGAAGGCGGCUCUCUGGUCUGCAACUGACGCUGAGGCUCGAAAGCAUGGGUAGCGAACAGGAUUAGAUACCCUGGUAGUCCAUGCCGUAAACGAUGAGUGCUAAGUGUUGGGAGGUUUCCGCCUCUCAGUGCUGCAGCUAACGCAUUAAGCACUCCGCCUGGGGAGUACGACCGCAAGGUUGAAAC
rnacentral:rRNA from 1 species